ensembl:lncRNA
CGUUUGCUUGGCAUGUGCAAGGCCCUGGGCUUAAUACCCAGCAAAGGAAACAAUUCCUGGCCCAGUUCUUAGACUAGCCCCCAGUUCUUUGACUCUCAUAUUUCUGUUUUCUCCAGGGAUUCGGAUUGUGAAACUCCUGUCCCUGUGAUGAUUUUUGACCCUUGCUUUCCAGUCUGCCUGGAAAUUACUCCCUGUUAAUUUGCACCUUGACCAUGACCUAUGCUACCUUCUCCCAGACCCUGCUUUGUUCCAUCUGCUGGAUUUCCAUUGUCAGGGUCCUGCCCAGGACUAACCUCUGCUCAUGAACAUCUUCUGGAAUGACUGUCUUGGCACUACUCAGGAGGUCAUACCUGGCACCAAAAGAAUAAGUUAAUAAGUAAAAAUCUUAGAUAAAAUAAAGAAAGAGCAGGAAGAAAAAUCUGUCUCAUUCUACAAUCCACCAAUUUUUCCUGAGUAAGUAUAAAAACUAAAAACUGCAUAUAUUUUAAUCAUUAAACAUAUCACUGAGCUAUUCCCUGGCAGAAAUAAUUCAUUUUUAAUAUAUAUAAUCUUUUUUCUGAAGCCAUAUAUACUUUCAUCAGCUGAGUAUGGGCUUUUAUAAUUAUUAUCCCUAUUCCCAUACAAUUAAAAGCCUUUAUGUAGAUAUAUAAUUAUCGAUAGGCAAAAGAAACACUAUACCGUUUCUGCAAUCCAUAAAAUGGCAAGUGGAAAAACUACUCAUUAAUUUAUAUUUACACUAUGGCAAUUAAAUUAGCAAUACCUGGAGCACAGAUGAAGAGAGCAAGGAGCCUUUACAGAAAGAGGCCUUUGCCCUGUUCAAGCUGUCAUGAUAUCAUACAGGCUUUUUGUGAUAACUAAGAAAUUUGUAUAUUGUUGUGACUAAAAUAUAGCUAAACUUUCAGUUUUGUCUAGUGUGUACAUGUAUGUUUAAUACAAUUAUCUGUCUCUCUGUUGCCACAUGUACAUACUUACUUCACAGUGAAGCACACAUAUACAUGUGUGAAUAUACAGGUUUUAUACUGAGAAAAACAUAUAUAUAUUCUAUAAAAUGUGUGAUAUAUACAUGUAUCCACACAUGCACAUACAGUGGUGAAAAUGAUAAUUUUAUGGCUUGCAUGAAUUUUAGCUCUUUUGUGACUCAUUCUUGGUUUCCCUCAGUUUGAAAGACACAAAUCACAACAUAAUAUAUAUGUUAUGCAUGUGCUACUGUAAUGAAGUAUCAUAUAAAUACACACAGAAAUUAUAGUCAUGAAAAGAACGGAACAAACCUAAUAUAACAGCUGUUUAACUUCUCUUUCUGCUUCCCUCGCAGGAUUAUUUGUCAGCUCUAAGGUCACUGACAGGCAGUACAUGGACUGAGUCAUUGGUACCUGCUUCACAGAUGUGGUGGGCAAAGAUAUCCUGUGGUGAGGAAGGGUGAGGGACACAGAAAGCGUCCAGACACUGGGAAUAAGUCUAUUAGUACUGCAAGGUUCUACCAUUUCUUAAGCUUCAGUGACUUUCAGCUUUAUUUCUUUCCCAUCACCCAUACACCAAAGUUUUAUUCCUAAGAUAUAGGAGACUGUUUUCCCUUACUUUUCCUUUUCCCCACCACCUUAAUGUCUUGUCUUUCAUUUCCACCUUUUCUUGAACUUAGAGUUUGUCCUGCCCUGCCUUACCUUGUCCUGUCCUUCCUUUCCCAUCCCUUCCAUUCCCUCCCCUUCCCCUCCUGCCCCCUCCUCUGUUCUCCUUUCCUCUCAUUUCUUUCUUUCUCUCUCUACUUCCUUCCCCUUCCCUCCUUCUCUGUCUUUCUCUCUGUGUAUCUGUCUCUCUAUGUCUGUCUCUCUAUGUCUGUCUGUCUGUCUGUCUGUCUGUCUCUCUCUCUCUCUCUCUCGCACAUCAACUCUUUUUAAAAUUUUUGGACAGGGUCUAAAUAAGUCUCUAGAUUUCCAGGCCUAAGUUAGAAUUUCUGAUCUUCCUCCCUCAGCCUUCCAGAGUGCUGGGAUUACUGGUAUGUAUCACCAUGCCUGGCUGAAUUUACUUUUUCAAUGUCAUAAAAGGCAGUAUAUUCAGGAUCUAGGCUCCAAGUUCAAGGCCAGGAAAAAUUAAGGAAUUUUCCCAAGGUUAUGCACAUGGGGAUGAGUGGAAUAAGAAUAAGAGUGGGGCUCGUGUAGUGGUGGCAUGCAAAUGAAUCCCCAGUUCUAGGACAGACAUUGUCCUGGGCUGUGAGGAAAUCCUAGUGAAUAAGAUGGGAAAGUUCUUAGAGAAUAAAAAGUCAUAUUCUAAAGGCAAAUGAUAUGAAAUAAGCAUAUAAUAAAUAAAUUAAUGGCAGAGGGGGAAAAAGCAUGGGAUGGGGACACAGACAGUGCUAUAUGGAGAUUAAUCAGUUAGCUUUCUGUCACUAUAACAAAAUAUCUGAGAGAAUUAACUUACAAAGAGAAAAGGUUUUACAAGUCCCAGCCCUGACAAGACUGACCCACUGCUUUGACUUGAAGAGUUGUAGAAAAUAACAACAUGCACAAGAUUUUUAUACUUAGGUGUUUGGAUUUCCUCUUGUUUCCUCUUUGCCUCCAUCUGAAGAGCAUUGGAGUGGGCUGAUGACAUGGAGGCUGAGAGACAGCGCCUCCAUUGCAUGAUUUAACCAUGCUUCUUCCAGAGCAAGGGGGUGCAUUGCCUCAUGACUUUCUGGGUGGGUUGGAUUUGUUUUUUGGCCUUCAUCAUUUACACUGGUCAUUGACACUACCAGACCUUUCUACCUAACUGCACACUUAAAAUGUGGUCACGCUUCUGUGACUCCCUUUGCACCAUGCCCUGGCUGCCCGAGUACCUUAAGAUCUCCAUUCCAGGCAGGCCUGGGCUAAGCUCUUGAAAAGUCUGGAACUAGCCACCACUCCUGCACUUACCUUUAGCAGUAACACACGUUUCUCCUUUUAAUGUUCAUGUGCGUUCCAUAUUUCCAGAUUGAAAACUCAUCUGGUUAAACAUCCUCAGACCAUAUUAUGAUGUUUACUGCAAGAGUAAUAUGAAUUCUCAAGAGGUUCUUUAAAUAACUCUGGCUAGGUAAAUAAAUAAAUGAUACCAGUUGUCAUUUACUGCACACCUACCAUGUCCCAGGAACACUUUUAAACUACUGACAUGUAUGCAUUUAGUGCUCACCAAACCCUCUAGUGUAGCUGUCCUGGUGAGGUGAAUUUGAGAGCAUUUGAACACCUGAACAGUAGCCGUGCCCCAGUCUGCAGCUUCUAGGUAAAAAGGAAGGGCCUGGCUUGGGAGAUAAUCUAUAAUUUUUAUAUAUGAAAAUUCAAGAUUUUAACAGUGUGGGGUAUAUGUGUGUAUAUUUUAUAUACUUAUUUUAUGGACACAUGUUAGACUAUGUUAUAACUACAUCAUACACUGUGAGAACUGAACAAAUGUGCUUCCUGGGCAGCGUACCACCUCAGGCCCAGCAAAGAGCCUCUAAGUCAACAGUCUACUCUGGGAUGGUGAGAAAAGCACAGCAUUGGAGCAGCUGUAUAACAGGGUGGUUACCUCUUCAUUUCAUGGACCCUUGAGAUCCUGAGUUUAGAUAGAAGUUAGUGGCAAACUGUCAGCUAGAUCACACUGUUGUGGGCAUUGGAAGUGUAUUCCUAGAGUUCGUUGCAAAUUAGGGGCUUGGUCCAUGCCAUUAAUUUCUUCUUUUUUUUUUUUUUGUACCAGGGAUCGAACUCGGGUCCUUGUGCUUGUGCAGCAGGUGGCAAAACCACUGAGCUAAAUCCCCGGCCCAUCAUUAAUUUAUUCUUUGGGAGGAAGCUCUGGGUAUGGAAACAAGGUCCUGGUACAUCCUAGGUGAAUGCUCCACCACUGAAGCAUACCCACAUCCCUCAGUCAGCUGAACAGGGCGCUGAGCCCACUCUCAGGGAAAUGGGGUCCACAAGAUUCUCUUCUUACUCUUACCCUCCACGGGAGCACCUGACCCAGCCCAAGGACUCAUUUUUUAUGUGAUAUUUGCAAGCUUCUCUAUCUAUACCUUUAUUCCUCCUGGGUAAAAAGUUUGAUAGGAAUGUAAGUGGGUAUCCUUGAAAGAAUAUUUCUAUUUUGACAGGGACCAGUGACUUUGAGUAGCUUGAGAGAAUACUCACGUGAGCCUGAGAAUGCCAUGAGAGAUUGGGCAUAGACACAUUCCCUUUUACCCACCAUGACUCCACAGCCUCCCUAGCUGUUUGUCUCUCUCUUCUACUGAGGCUUCAGGUAGUAUUCUUUUACAAAAAAGGGGCUCUGUGGCAAUGAUGAAGGUAUCUGGAAAAGUUAAAACCUUCCAGCCAAGUUCUAAGCAUCAAUCAUUUUGUUAUCAAUUUUCUGCAAAAAGUUGUGGAUUUUUUUCCCCUGCUCAUAAAUGCCUCCUAGAAAAAUAAGAGUUGCAGUAGGCACUUUCUUUUCCCCAGGCACAGAACUAUCAAACUUCUCAGCUGGAAUUCAGAGACAGUAAGCAAACUCCCUAAAUACUAACAUGGCAUACGAGCUGUUUUCCUGGCAGGAUGGUUUUGUGCCCAUCAACUUGGGAGUGCUAUGGCAACUCAGUGGGGCCUUGCUGAAUAGCAGUGGCACUGGGACUCUUCACUAAGGUCCUUCUGGUGCCAAGCAGUCCCCAAGUCAGAGCAUGUGCUGAUUUCAACAUUUGUUGUCACUGUAGAUAAAGAACAAUCAGCAAAGAUCCUGAUCCCAUGACCCAUUUCUCAAUUCUUCUGGUUUCUGGGAAUCAGCAUACUGAUUAUGUAGACUUGGCUGACUAGGAGAGGCUUGGGAUUCCCCUACUGGCUUAUGUCCUAUUUUGCAAAAUGAACAACUGUUUUCUUUUUCUUCCUCAUUUGCAAGGUAGGGAAAAUACUUCCUCUAGCCCUGUAGCAAAUCUCCUUACUUUGCAAUUGCAUCUUGGUGUUCUGCUAGGUUGGUUAGGUGAAUAGGGGUCUGGUGUCACAAGGCUAAAGAGAAGUGAGGGCCUGGAUAGUUCAUUUUUUUUCUUCCUUAGCCUUUCCUUUUUCUUAUUCCCUCUUCUACCUUUCAUUUAUGUUUCAGGUUAUUUAAUGGAAAAUUGAAAGCAAUAUUUUAAGUAAAAUGCCUGCGUUCUCUUAAUGGGCAUGGCUGUGGCCAACAGACCUAUAGGUCGAAUGGCUAUGACACCAAGCAGUGGGCACAUACACGUGCGUCGGCCAGUGUGCCCAAAUCAAGUACUGUAUGUGUGUGGAACCACAUGCUCUUCUAGAGCUUUUCAGAGCCGGGUGUAUGCUGGGCUGCAAGUGUUUUUCACUUCUUUUUAGUUUUUAAAUGAAGACCCUUUUUAGUUAUCUACCUCGGAUACUCCAUGAAAUGGAAGAAUACCUCACUGCAUUUACCAACUCCAUUGUGUGGCUUAAUUGAUGGUCAGUGUGGGCCUUCUUUGGGUUUUCAGAAUGUGGGAGUUAAUCAUAGUGCUUCCGUUGCUCCCUUUGGCAAUUCUGAGGAGCUACGAGGAUCCUGAUUUGUUCGCUGCAGUUUUAAAUGACAGUGUGUGGGAAACAAAUCAAGGAGUUCUGAGUCUGGUGGAGCUGCAGCUAGGGGCCUGUUCGUACAACCUCCAUGUCCUCAUCUGUAAAGUGAAGGACAAGAAGCAUCUGCAGUCCAAGGCCCCUUCUGGACUCCUGGUUUGGUAUGUGCUGGGCCUGAUCCCCUGGGGUGAGUGGGAGUCUGUGUCUGUCUUGUGAUCUUGGCUAGAAUUUGUGAGGUUCUUCCCCCAUCAUCCGCAUUGUGUAUGGACUGGAAGAGCCCUGGAAACCCCAAAGCUGAUCCCAGAGGCCCUUAGGGAGAGCUCCAGUCCUGGAAAUAAGUUCUGUUUGGCAAAAUAAGUUCAUCUUCUCUUAAACUGUGUAGGCUUUCUAGGUUCUGCCAAAUGGAGAACCAGUGAGAAGUGUUCAUGAAUAGAAACUCACAUUUCUGCUCAGUAGAGCUCCUAAUGAUUAAAUGCCUUUUCAAAUAGGUACAUCAAAGGCAAACAAAUCAGGGUGUGGGACUCUGUUGUGGGUCUAUGAGAUCUGUUAUCAUGAGUUAAGUAUUUUUUAAAACGUGGUAUUGAGUCCAAGAGUCUACUCGAUUAUUAUGAAACUAAAAACACAUUACAUUCCAAAGAUAUUUUGGAAACAAUAGAUUUUGAUAUUCACCGGUGGCUUUUAUCAUUUCAACAAACUUGUAUUUAGAGAGCAGGUGGUGUCUGUGAGCCUAGACCAUGGAACUGGUGUUUAGUGGUGAAGCCGAUAAUUCUCCCACUUGCUUAAAAGAUUGAGCCGAGACAAGAGAUUUUUACCUGACUGUGUCUUCUGCCAGAAGCCAGAGAAAUGCACAAUCUUGGAACGCUGAGACGUGGAUACCGCAUGUCUAAUGGAUGGAAUCUUUUUUUGUCUGGGGUAGAAAUAUACAACUAUUGACUGUGUUACGCAUAUGGAGUAAAACUGAUUGCAGGUGGUACAACGGUUUCUUCCUUUCUGCCUCUCCACCUUCCCCUGGCACCAGUUUCCUAUGCUUGGAGAUACGAAUAAUGGGAGCCCAGUGAUCAUGAGAAAAUUCUACUGGGUUGAUGAACAACAACAGUGAAGGGCAGGAACAGUACAAAACCAGUACUGGGAGGACAACUGAGACCCAUAAUUACUCAGUGAGUUGACCUUGCCCUCCUCAGGACACCUGAUGUGCUGCUGAGCGAUAAAAUAUAUGGCUCUGGUAUCAGAUGCAAAUUCACAUCUCCCCACACUGGUAGGUUUCCUGUGAUCCUCAGGCCACGCACUCAUUGACACCCAUCUUUUUCAUUUGCAAUAUAAGUAUAUAAAAAUUAGAUUUUUGUGGGAUGAAAUGAUAGAGCUAUAACUAUUACUAUUAAUUUUUAGUCUGCAGUGUGUCAAGAACAUUAUCCUGACAUGAGUUCUCUUUAUGUACUAAUAUCUAUUUUAUUUUUUUAAAAAAUCUAUUUUAUUUCUAGUUUUCCAGUGAUCUCUGAUAAAAUCACAGGUACCACAGACCUGUGAUGCUCUAUUAAAAUCUAAACAUUUUUUUCUGAGUCAGAAAUAUUUUAAAAAAUCUCAGGAACUUCCCAUACAAGAGUUUAAUUAGGUAAACACAUCAAAGAAUAGCUUAGAUUAUUUUGUUUAUAGUCUCAAGAGAAAGUUCUAAAGGACAUACUCCUUUUAACUUUAAUACACUUUUCCAGGAUCCAUUGUUUUAUUUUGAUUUAUUCCUUAUAAGUACAUUUAAAUGACUGCUAUGAAAUGACAUUUAGGAUACAAAUAUUUUUAAUCUUAAUUUUUAAUAAUUUCUUGUCUUAAAACUCAUAAUAUUUUGAGUUCUAAUAAUAAAACUGGAAUUUUGAUUUUUACAAGUAAUAUCUCAACCAAGAAUCAUCAUAUACAAACCAAAAAAUUUUCAAGACAGUCUGGAUUGUAUUCAAAGUAACAAACAUUAUUCAAAAGUACAAAUUUCAUUCAUAUUUAUUGCAACUCUAUUCAUAACAGCUAAGAAAGGGAAGCAACUUGAGCAUCUAUCAACUGAUGAGUGAACAAGGAAAAUGGGUUAUGUAUACAUAAUGGAAUACUAUUCAUCCAUAAAGAAGGUUGAAAUCCUGUCAUUUGCAAUAUAACAUGAAUGGAAUUGUUGAUCUUUAUAUUAAGUGAAAUCAAUCAGGCACAAAAAAGACAAACAGCACAUGAUCUUGCUCAUAUGCAAAAUCUAAAUAUGUUGAUCUCAUAAAAGUUGUGAGUACAGAAUGAUACAUGUCGAAGAGAAUAGAGAGAGCACAAGGACAGGGAGAGGCUGGCCAAUGGGGAUGAAGUUGCAGUUAGACAGGAGUAAGAUAUUCUGGUGAGCUCCUGUAUGGCAGGGUAACUAGAUAACAAUAAAGUAGUGUAGAUUUUAAAAAGCUAGAAGAGAGGAUAUUGAAUAUCUGUUCCAUAAAAAUGAUAAAUGUUUGUGGAAAUGGACAUACUAACUCUGAUUUGAAUAUUAUACAAUGUAUGAAUGUAUCAAAACUUUACAUGGCUCCUCUUGAUGUGUAUAGUUUUGUAUUUCUAUCAUCAAUUAAAAAUAAAUUUCAAAAAUCCUCAAAAAUAAAUAAAUGACUCACUUGCUUGGCUGUGUUGACUUCUAUUUUCCAUAGUGACUAGAAAAAUCCAAAAGAACUGACUGAAUGUGUCAGAUAUCAUACAGACAGAAUUAGUCAAGAGAAAGUUGACUUCCUUAGAUAUACAUCUUCUCUUAUAUAGAGUCAGACCUAUCCAAAGUAAGAAGAGUGAGAUAAUACUUUAUUGUCUUUUUGUUCUUUUUAGCAUUUAAGGUAGUAGUAGUAGUUGCUGAUAUUUUCAUCGACAAAUAUAAAAUUUUUUUAGUAACUGUUUUUUUUGUCCUUGAGGCUGAACGUAUAACAGAGCCAAUCACGUUACUUCAUUCUGCAAGUGAGGGUAGUUGAUUGACAGAUGCCAUGUGGCCCAAGCUGAACUAAUCUGAAUUCUUCACUUGGCUUUGUUUUGCUGCAGCUAUCAGGGAAUACUUUCUUUCUUCCUAGGUUGAUAAGGAUGGGACUCCCAUACUUCAGGUAUUCAGUAAAUGCUUAACUUUGCCCACUGAAAGUUCAGCUCUUUGUUCACAGCUCCAAGGGUGGUGAACUCAAAACCCACAAGAUACUAUCCUUGAUAAGGAUGGCUGUAUGUAUCUGGGGUUUGAGACAGCCAGACUGUCUAUGCUAACAAUGCAAUUUUUGGUGAGGGCUUGGGCUAUGUGAUACCCCUCAAGCUAUAGAGGAGCUGGAGACAAAAGAUAGGCUCAUAAGUGAUCAAUGUGUCUACAUGGCAGACUCCUAACAAAAAAUCUGGACAACAAAACUUGGAUGAGCUUUCAUGGUUGGGAAUAUUCUGUGUGUGUUAUUACACAUCCUUGCUGAAAGAACAGUGUGCAUCCACCUAAUUUCACUAGGAAUGGGCAACUG